GAUGAUGGUCGGACAAGGGGGAAGCUGUCUUUUUUACAAUUUUUGAAUUUUACUUUUAAGUGAAAAGGCUUAAAUGGGUUGGGGGGACGAUAAAACCCUAUAAAAUUUUACAGAGUCGGGAUCUUUUUUUAAAUUAGUGUUUAAAUUCUAUAGGUUCUUGUUUGUUUUGUUGGGGCGACAAAGAUAAAAUUUAAUAAGUGUCUUUUAAUUA
rnacentral:rRNA from 1 species